ACACCAGCUAUCUCCUGCUCCCUGUCCUGCACUGCAAAGGAGGCCUUUUCAUCCUCUCUACUGCCUCCAAUUUUUCUCACGAGGAAUGUGAGAGGAAAACCUAGAAUGGGCAGAUGAAUCUCUGAACAAGACAGCUCAUGACACGGUUUAUUGGAGCCUUCCUCAAAACCCAUCCAAGAGAGCUUGUUCCUGAAGCAUGGUGCUAAGUCCAUAUGCAGCAGAUGGAGCUCAUGAGAAAAGAGUUGCUCUUGUGAAGACCAAAGCUUGAAAAAGCAUUCCCAGAAGCACGGAGAAGUGAGGAGAAAAGGCAAUGCACCUGGAGCUGGAGACCAAGGCCCUGUUCUUACUGAUGGCCCUUGGAGCAGAUAUUUGAAUUGGAGAGAUAAAACCGUGGUUUUUGGGGUGUUAAUUUUGGUGGCUGAUGCAUUCUGUGAUUGAUUUGGCUAUUACAACUGGUAUUGAUUUUAAACACAUUAAUUGCAAAAUCUCAAUUGUGAUUUGAUUUCUGUAUUUACAAUACUAAAAACGAGGCUUUCGCCAGGAGAAGACAAUUGGCAGUACUCAGUUGGAAGUGCUUAAUUGUUAAUAUAUAUCAGCCGUGGUUCUUCAGCGUCGUCAGUGUUGCUCAGUCUUGCUCUUUGUGGCGACUACUGAAUGCUUGAAAAAUUCUCUCCUAUACUCCCACUCUGCACUGUAGAAGAGAAAGAGAGGAGAGUGGAAGAAAAAAGAGAGGGAGAGGAGAAAGAAAGAGAGGAGAGAGAAACAUGGGCAUGGAUGAUACAUAAGGUAGUUGUAAACUGUGAUCAGCUUUGAUAAUAACUAGAUAAAUUCUUUUAAUACAAAAAUAUAUAAGGCAUUUUGCCUUUUUUUCAAAUUUCAAAUAAAUGGAUUUGUAUAGAAUGUAGUCUGUUGCCCAGAGUUUUCAUUUAGCAUAAUGCAUUUGAGAUUUAUCCAUGUUGUUGUAUAUUCUUUUUAUUGCUGAGUAGUAUUCCAUUGUGUGGAUAUACCAGUUUGUUUAUCCAUUAACCUUUGAUGGAUAUUUGGGUUUUUUUCAAUAUGAGGCUCUUAUAAAUAAACCUUCUGUAAUCAGGUCUUUGUGUAGUCACACAGUUUGUUUGUUUGUUUGUUUUUUAAAAAGAUGUUAGUAUUGUAAUUGUGUUUAAUAAGAAACUGUUCAGUAUUUCUGCAUGUCUACCAAAAAUACAUGAAAUGUUAGUUGCUUCUUUUAAAAUA
rnacentral:lncRNA from 1 species